rnacentral:rRNA from 1 species
GAUGAACGCUGGCGGCGUGCCUAAUACAUGCAAGUCGAGCGAACGGACGAGAAGCUUGCUUCUCUGAUGUUAGCGGCGGACGGGUGAGUAACACGUGGACAACCUACCUAUAAGACUGGGAUAACUUCGGGAAACCGGAGCUAAUACCGGAUAAUAUUUUGAACCGCAUGGUUCAAAAGUAAAAGACGGUCUUGCUGUCACUUAUAGAUGGAUCCGCGCUGCAUUAGCUAGUUGGUAAGGUAACGGCUUACCAAGGCAACGAUGCAUAGCCGACCUGAGAGGGUGAUCGGCCACACUGGAACUGAGACACGGUCCAGACUACUACGGGAGGCAGCAGUAGGGAAUCUUCCGCAAUGGGCGAAAGCCUGACGGAGCAACGCCGCGUGAGUGAUGAAGGUCUUCGGAUCGUAAAACUCUGUUAUUAGGGAAGAACAUAUGUGUAAGUAACUGUGCACAUCUUGACGGUACCUAAUCAGAAAGCCACGGCUAACUACGUG